AUGGAGGCCGAGAUGUACGUCCACCACGCCGAGCCCCUCAGGGCGAACACUGCUACGUGCAUCCCGAGGCUGCGCGGUGGUGGUGUCCGGCGGAGGCCGCGGCAGCACGGCGCUCCUCCCCCAGCGGCAUCCUCCGUGAUGGAACGCGUCCGGGAGGUGCUGCUGCGGCUGGCGAUGCUAUCGGCGGCCUCCUCGUCUCCCAAGGCCGGCGCUCGGCUCCAGCAGCACACGACGGCCGCCGCGCCGACGAGGGCGGCCUCGGUGCGCAUGAGCCCCUCCUACUCCGAGUCGUACCCGAGCGACGCCGUGGACGACUGCAUCGAGUUCCUGAAGCGCUCGGCGGCCGGCAACGGCGGUGCCGCCGUGACGGCCGCUCCCGGAGCUGCCCCGGCGCAGUCGGCCGUGAGCUCGGCCCCGCCGCCGUCGCCGUUGCACGCGUGA
rnacentral:rRNA from 1 species